UACGGAGGAUCCAAGCGUUAUCCGGAAUCAUUGGGUUUAAAGGGUCCGUAGGCGGCCACAUAAGUCAGCGGUGAAAGUUUUUGGCUUAACCAAAAAAUUGCCGUUGAUACUGUAUGGCUUGAAUAUUUGUGAAGUAACUAGAAUAUGUAGUGUAGCGGUGAAAUGCUUAGAUAUUACAUGGAAUACCAAUUGCGCAGGCAGGUUACUAACAAAUGAUUGACGCUGAUGGACGAAAGCGUGGGUAGCGAACAGG
rnacentral:rRNA from 1 species